AGCUUCCAGGAGCACACCCUAGGCUCCCACCCCAGCCAGCCAGUGAGCCCUGGGACCUCUGGCUGUGCCACGUGGGAGGUGAGGGUGCAGCUCCUGGACUGGCUGUCCCGGCUGCUAGUUUUAUCCUGGUAAAAUUAUUAUUUCUUAUUUAUUUCUUAUAUAUUUAUAUCUUAUACAUUUAUUAUUUCUCUUUCAUGAUGCAGGGAGCAAGGCAUCGUCUCCCAAAUAAUAUCUUGGGUACCCAUGUUGGAUAUCUCACAGCUUCUGGCAUGGUUACGGGCUGAGCACAAACUCCCAGACCCUCCAGCCUUCCUAUGCCCACCCAAAGGGGUACAGGCAGCUUCUGCCUUUGCUAAACAGGUGGAGAACUAUUGCAGUUUGGGGUGGGGGGUGUGUGGUAAUUGUACUGAUUCAGAAGCAUUUAACAAAUUGAAAUGUCAUUCUGCUCUAUGCCUUUUUAUUUUUUCCUGUUCCAGCUACAAUGUCAAGUAACUAAUGAAUGCAACAUGAUGCGGUAUUAGGUUUAAAGCAGUAUUUUCCUGUUGCUGUUCCUUACAUGUUGGUCACACCCUUAAUGAUCUUCAUAGGAAAUAUUUACUUUGAGGAGUUUGGUUCUAAGUAUGCCAAGUGAUCAAAACCAGGCAAGGCAUGGUUUGCUCUCAUAUGACUUCAGUUUUUCCUGGAAAGAAACGGGAACAAAAUAAAAAUCUUACUUUCAAAAUUAAUGCAAAUCAGCUUGAAAAUCAUCUUUUCCCAAUAAAUGAACACUCUGUUCUUUCUCAGGCAAUCCAAUAUUAACUUUUAUGGGAAUAGAAACUCAAGGAAGAAUAAAUACUGUGGAAAAGUGAGGUCUGUAAUGGUGGUGCUGGUAGUGUCUGGCAAGUGUUAAUGCAUAGUGUACAUACGAGUGUUGUAUAUAUAUCCUUGCAGCUACCAGUUUCGAGCUGUUCUGAAACUGGGAUCUUGAUGCUGAGAAGGGAGAAAUAAACAUCCAUGCAAAGCUUUCUUCUUAGUGCAGUCCCCAGUUUAAUAUCCUCAAGUCUUUUUAAGUAAGCAAAGAUGCAGCAGCCUCAUACAUUGGAUAUUGCUCAAGGUGGAAAAUUGCCCCACUGCUUCUUAUUACUCCUAUUGCCUCACCCAGAUUUGUUACAGACUGAAUUUCAAAGAAAACCAUGCCCACGUGAAGGUAUAUGUGUAAUACAGAUUUACAUUGCUGUGCGAUGUAGCCUCUGUGUGCUGUAGAGACCAAAGGCAUGUGAUUUUGUCAGGCCAAAAAUUUCUACCCAUGGCAAACCCUUGAUGCUGCGUGGCCUGGGGAGUGGGGAUGACUCCUUCAUCACUCUGUCAUCAGUCUGCGGCUAAACAGUGACAGAAAUGCUUGGACAAUUUUUCUGUUACUUUAUUUGGAUGUUUUUCUUUACAAGUCUUGGUUUAUUAUGCCUAGUACCUUGCUAACCCUAAGUCAAACAUGCAAGAGUAGGGAUUGCCGUAAGAAAUCUCUUAGAAACAAUCUACACUGACUUUUUUAUUUUUACACUAAAAAAUGUCAAUGUCAAGGUCUAAUAACUGGCACGAGGAGCGGGGGCCAUGCACAGCUCACAUUACUGACACAGCUCAGCUGGCACCGCUUUCCAGAUCCGCAGGCCUUGCCCAGGUGUCCUGGCACAGGCAGGGAAGGGGUGGCGCAGAGCUGCUCGUCGAAAACCACUAUGGGUCUGGGGGUUUUCCCAAGUGUUUUUUUUUAAACUUUUUUUGGUCCCUAUGCCCAGAUCCCAAGGUCUUUCCUUUGAAGCCCACCUUGCUGUUGCAUACCACACAUGCACAUUUACACAGCCAGGCGCAGCACAGCACCUCUCCUGGCUCACCUGCCAAAAAGAGACACAGAUUUUGGCCAUGUGAGGAAAAACCCUGUCUUUUUUUAUCCUGGAAAUACUGCAUACACUAUUCUGUUUGGGUCAUUGCUCAGCAUCUGUGCAUAAAUGUUCAACAAUUUUUUUUUAAAAAAACAAAGGAAAUCCUUACGCAAAAAUAAAUAAAAAAAAGGCCUGCAUCACUGUGGGCUUAUGUUCAAGAGAAUUGUAUUGGUAAACUAAACUAUAAAGCAUGGAUGUUUUAGUUAUUCCAGCCUAAGAGCUAUGAAUUUGAAACUGCAGAGUUAAGGUUAGACAUGACAAAGUAAGAAACAACUGAGUUGCCAGAAAAUCCUUUGAAUGCUUCGUGGUACUGUCAUCAGCAGGGAAACCACCUUGUGUAUCUUCAGGGUCAUCUUAGCAGCUUUAUGCCAUGCAACUGGAAAGGACCAGAGGGGUGAGAGGGUCGGCACGGCCUCGUGCAGUUUUGGGGUCUCUCGGAGCACCUGGGGUGCUCAGAUCCCAGCUUGCUCCAGCCAUGCAGAUCACAUUGCACCAUGAGGGUGCCACCCCUACUCUUACAGCUAACCUGCAGGCACCAUUAAAAAAGAUGUAAUGUUACUACUUUGUGGUGAUUUUGGAGUAGAGGUCUCAGCCCUUAGAGUUUUCCCACUCUGUCAGCCUGCUCUGUCUUGUGUUUUCUUGUGGGAAUAUUGGAUAAAACUCUUUUGAGCUAAACCUGCAGCACUGCAGCGCCUUUCUUUCCUGUUAGCACAGUCUCCUGUGCUCACACAUUUGUUCCCUACAGAUAUGCCAGGCAGAACUCACAGUCUUGUCCAGACAACUGCCCUAAAGGCAGGCAAGCAUGCCAUGCAUGUGCAUAUACACUUGCAAAGUAUUGUUUACAUCACUUUUUGCAACUUUUUAGGCAGUCAUGGCAGUGGCUUGGCUCUCUGGGGUGGCUGCGCAGAGGGAUGUGUGCGUGUGCCAAAGAAGCGUGGGUACCUCUGGCCUUUCCCAGCCCGUAAAAUAUAUGGGCUAUUGCUUAAAAACCUUUAAUGAUGCUUAAUUAGCUUCUAAAUUCCCAACAUUUAAUUCAGAUGCUAAUGUUUCUUUGCUGUCGUGGUAUCUGGUAACAGGUAAGACAUGGAUUAAUCCCACCUAGGGCUGCUGCAGGUGAUGCUGGGGGUGAGAGGGGAGGGCUCAGAGGAAGCCAGAGGAGCAACCACGGUGCCCUCGCAGGGUGAGGGUGGCCGUUGCCUGUCCUGGGAGGUGAGAACUUGGGUUUUCUCUUGGUGUCCUUGGCACUAUCUCAUUCACCCUCCAGCCUGGUAGGAAAACUCAUUGAACAAGGGGUCGCAGUAUUGACUCUACUUUGGGGAAUGAGCGAGCUUUAAAUGGUACUUCUCGGUUACAACUUACUAUUUGUAUGUUAUUUAUAAAUAAUCAAUAAAGCCAUGCAGUUAAACACGAUAACAGAAAUUGUGUAAGGACAGCAAGCAUUGAGUUUUGGUUUCCACCAGCGUACUGGAACGUGCUUCUCCCAGCAGCUCAUGAAGAACUUUGCUCCUUCUGCCUCCACAGCACAUCAGCUCGACUGAGACAGGUUGAUCUUUGUCUUUGCUGCUGAAUAAUGAGGCAAGGAAUGUGUUCAAGCUGUUGAGUAAACCACCAUCAUCUGUAAGAGAUUUCCCAUCCUUGUGCCUUAAUGGUCAGGACAAGUCUUUAUGGGCUGGUCUUAUGCUUGCUGGGAACAUGUUGAUCUUCAUCUUCGUCUGCUGAGCUGUUUUUUUUAGAAAUUAAGUUGAGUUUCUUUCACUUUUUUAUUUUUAUUUUAUUUGUUACUAAUAAAUUAUUCAUCAGUCUUGUGGCAACUGGAAUUUUAUAUGCAUUUUACCUGUUUACUGAUCCUUGAAUUCCUGUGACGCUAUGUACCAUGUCUUGUUUGUUGCUGGGCUGCAGAGACAGAGGUUCCAGGGAUGCUUUGACAUAUACCAACACGUCAUGUGCCCACUCCAUCACUUUGGACCUGGGAUCAAUUCACAAAACACUCCGGUUUGAUUUUGGGAAUGGUCAGGGCCUUUCCAAAGGGAUGUCUUUCCUCUUAGGGCAGGGGGGCCACAUCUGGGGGAAAUCCACCACCCCAACCUUGCUCAAACUCUCUUCUGCAAUGGUCACUGUCCCCAUCUUGGGGCCUCAGCAUCGCCAAAUUGCUGGGAAACCUUCAGCCAAUGCCUGGGAGCUCUGCAAGCCCUGAAUAACUGCCCUGUCUGUAUUUAUUUUGAAGUACCACACUAGUGGCCCUUCCCAGACAAAAACUUGCUGACGGGAUGGGCCUUCAAUGAGUGGCACCUGCAACAAAUUCCAGCCACGGGUGCAAGAAUCGCUUUGUAGGCUGAAGCUUGGGAAGUAGUUUGAAGAAAUCCCAACCACCUUACAGCUCAGCAGCCCAACGGUUGCUGACGAAAAUACUGACAGCUCUGUUUUAUUUGCAGUCCCUCUCUGAAGCUUCCUGGUUUCUGUUUCAUAUGGAUUAGGGAGUACUCGGCACGCUCUUUUCACCUCCUGCAAUUUUGUUGCUCAGCUACACGCUGCCCGAGUUCGAACCCCGCCCGGGAAUCUGCUGUGUCCCCACUGUCCUGCCUCCCCUUGGGGCUGUCACUACACCAGCUGCCUUCACAUUUGUCUGUCUUAAAUCCCUGCUGUUUGCAAUCUCACAUGAGUUGGCACGGUGCUGGUAUACCACCACCUUCUGGUAGCACCAUGGGCAGCUGUAGCAGGGAGCCGGGCGUGCGGGUGCAGUGGUGCUGGACCAUGCUGCAGCAUCCUCAGGCAGGCGCUGAGGGUGGCAUGAGCACCCUCCUCUUGGGUCUGUGUCUGAGUGAGCUUCCAAGCUCUGCCCUGCCUUUCUUAACCUUUAUGGCCCUAAAUUCAUCUUUUAGUGAGUUUUCUGCCAUUGACUUCAUAGCAUCACAGCCUGGUUUGGGCUGGGAGGGAGCUGACAGCCCCCCGAGCCCCAACCCCCGCCAGGGGCAGGGACACCUCCCACCAGCCCAGGUUGCCCCCAGCCCCGUCCAGCCUGGCCCUGAGCACCCCCAGGGAUGGGGCACCCACAGCUGCUCUGGGCAGCCUCUGCCAGCGCCGCCCUCACAGGGAAGAAUUUCUUCCUAAUAUCUGAUCUAAAUCUAAAAUUUACCUGGCUUCUUUACUUGCUUUUCCCUGGGUGGAGACGUCCACUAUUUCUCUGUGCUGUGUGGAGCUUUUCAAGAGAUCCCUAUGCUAUUUGCAAAAUAGUGUGCAGUUUAAUUUUAUUAGAUUGUCGAUAAACCAGCAGGGCUUAAUUACACACCAAAAUUAUCUAGACUUGAAAGCAUGGCGAUCACUCCCUUGUUCUCCUGAGCUGUAACUUAAUGCAAAACCCUCUGUCGUUCUCCAUUUUCUAGUUCUUUCAUUCAUUCCUGCUGAGUAAUUAAAAAUGGCUUAUAAAUAAACACUGGGAAUGAUUUCCGAAAUGUUCUGUAUUUACUUGCAAGGCUGGUACUUCUGUCAUUGGCCCACUUAAAUGAUUUUGAAAGAUUGUAUACAGGUUCCUUUUACAAUGUAUUUGAAGUUUGUAAUCCUGCUUAAAUACACAAAAAUAGGAAGGAUUAACAAACUGCCACACUGAGGCCAAAAGAAGACAGAGCUAAAAGCAAUCAAGGAGCAGCCUAUCAGAUAUGUGAAAUAAAUUGGGGGAAAAGUGGAAAACUGUCAACAAAAAUAAUAUGUUAUGGAUCCUCAAGCCUUUGUGUUUAUGCUAGAGGAAGCCUAAAAUAAUCUGUGGUUUCUGAUGCUUGAUUUAGUUUUCCACAAGCCUAAUUAACACCAGAUUAAGUUUGCUGCCACUAUAGUUUAUUGCUGAGACUGACAAAUACUUGCUGUUUAUUUGUUUUCUAAAAAAAUGACUGGAGGCAAUAACAGUAUGACACAGUUAAUAAGUUUGAAAACAAUGCUAUAAAAUUCAUUUUUAUAAACUUAGUCUUUAGGAAAAAUCCCCGUGACUUUCCGUAUUAAAUUCUGACCCUACAGUCCUUGGGAAGGAAAAAAUCCCACUGAUUGAAUGUCCCACUGAUUUAAGAUACAGCCCUGUGAGUUAAGCUAAAAAUUAAGCAUGUGCCUCAGUGCUUUGCUGAACAGAGAUGGACUAUACUAUAUAUUUCGAUAAUUCACAUGCUCAGGGGCUUGGCCAGGUGUGGGCCAGCGGUCUGCAGGAUGGAGCUGCACAAAGCAAAGACUUACAGACAGAAAAUCCAACACCAUGUGCAUCAACCCGCAAUAUGGGUGUUUCCUAUGAAAAACAUCCUGGAGUGGCAUCAGCCAUUAUAUGACUCUGUCACUAUGUGACUCGCUCACUAUGGAUGUCACAACAUCAGGAUUGAACCCGAUUCCCAGAAAUCCGGGAAUACCUGCUACGACCUCGGUGAAAUCCCAAAUCUGCAAUCAUUUGUUUAUGCAGACGGCUUUGCUCAUGCAGAAUGACCCACUAAAGUCACCGGGAUUUCUGAUGCAAGUAAAAUUCCUUGCACGGUGUAUGCGUGCAUCAGAACACCUUGCCAUGUCAGAGCCGAGGGCGAGCUCCGCAGGCUGCAGAUACGGGCUACUUAUGCCAAAAGUUGGCAAAAAAACUUUCCAUCCCAUCUUCUCAUGAUUAUCCUUGGAAACACAUACUCUAUCCAGUGGCUUCAUUGUGACUCCUUCUGGACACGAGCCAAGCCAAAAGACAGAGAGGCUGGCAAAAACAGAUCUGAAAAAGUUACCCAAGUCCUUGGAAACCUCAUAGCAAGUCUGAACUGGGCAUAGAUCAAAAUCUGGGCAGGAAGGUGGGGUCUUACAGGGCAGGUCUCCUUGAUCCGCAUUUUUUGUUCAUGACAGGUCAGCAGAGCUAGAAUAUUUCACAAAAAUAUAGAAGCAAAGAGCCAGCUCAUACUUUUUCUUUCUCUCUCCAGCAUUGUGGAAGAAAGCUAUUACAGACACGCUGGUGCUCAGGUCUGGGAUGUACACCUCUGCCACCUUGGGUAGGUCACUCCACCUCUCCGUGCCCCAUUUCUUCAUUGAAAACAGGUGGACAAACCUUCUGUGGUGUGGGGUAGUCAAAUCCAUGCCUGGGAUGUGCUCUGUUUUUCCAGUAAUCAUGUAACAAAUAUGAGCUCUUUCUCCUGCUGAACACAUUUUAUUAAGUUCCCCGCUGUGUGGUGUUACCUGACCUGGCUCAAGGAGUUGUCUUUGUUCUCUCCAUGCUGAUGGAGAAAUACAGUGCUGGUGUCCCAUGUCCUCACCACAUCUGUUCUCAACAUGAGCCUUGUCCUGGAACCAGGAGGGUGGCAGUGCUCGGGUUUUGCCUUGUGGGAGGCCAGCGCUACAUGACACCGGCCACAAACCCUGUGAGCUCCUUACCCCAGAAAACCCAUCUGAAACCUGAUCUUCUGUAUGUGAUAUCCACGUUGACAAAAGAAACACCAAGCAAGCAGAUAAACAAAUCCGGUUUCCCCUGUGCAGGCUUCACCUGUUGUACAGUAGCUCCCUGGCAUCGUCUCCAUCUUUCUUGUUUGCCUUUGCACCUUUGAGAAAGUCCAAUUAGUGUUUUCGUACUUUUUUUUUUUUUCCCCUGAAGCACUGCUGUCAUGCUGAGGAAAUCAUGCAUUCACCAAAACAACAAAGCAGCUCACACCCAAAUUGCAGAUAAAAAAAAAAAAAAAAAGGUGUGGUUUUCUAUUUUUCAUUUUUCCAUUUUUCAAUUUAAGUUUCUAUGAAAUAAGCCUUAGGAUGCUUCUCCUGAAGCUACAGCACAUGGAAGCCAGUGACCAUAUGCCAUCACCUCUUGCUAAGACAAACCCACUCAGAAAUGAGUACCCAGUAUGGGGGUAAGGAGGCAAGUGGGGAGGAACAGGGAACCCUAAGGAGGGAGAAACGAAUGGCAGGUUGGCAGACCUCAGGCACUGGGCUUCAUUUCAAGCCUCCCUGGGGAUAGUGAGCUUCAGGUCCCAGUUGGUGGUACCCUGCCAGGAGCCCUGAUGUUUCCUGGGGGCUGCACUGUGCUCCUGACAGACCCUCAGCCUCUAAAGAAGUCAUCCAGGUUGAGGGAACUGAUUGUAUCUGUAUGGCUAAAAUACUAAAAUGUGAGCAUAGAUGGGGAUGAACAGGUCAGGCAAAUAUACCCAUUUUCACUGCAAGUCAGAGCCAACAUAGUCACUGAGUUUUCACCCUUGUGCCUUCAUUUCCCCGCAAAGCAAAGGCCAAAAUACUCUUGUCUUCGUGCUGACCUGAACCCAGGCUAUUUUUGCAAAGGCCGAACAGAUAACGUUACUGUGUCAUGAUACAGCCAGCAGCUCAGCUGGGAGAUAAAGAGAAAGUCAUAAUCCAGCACAAAUGUCUGAUAAAAAGGGGCAAAUGUCAGGAUUUAGUGGCUUUCCUCUCUCCUCUGCUCUGUAUGAUAAAUCACGGAUGGCAGCAGCUCACCAGACUGUGAUGCUGGCUGAGAGAAACCCACCCACCAAGGGACAGUUCACACCUCUCUUCCUGGCCACGAGAAAUUGAGAUGAUGCCUCUGAGCAUCCUGCAUCUAGAUGCUCAAGGACCCACGGUCCCACCUGCAAAAUGCCGGUUGAGCCUAUCUUAAAGCUAGUGUUGUUGUCUGAAAUUCAGCUUUUAAAAUAUUUCUUUUGCUACAGAUAUUGCAGCUCCCUACUCCAAAUUGCUCUGCAAAGCCCUGAUUCAGACCCAUGUCAGGGGCAGCCCCAGGCUCACUCCAAAGCCACCAUCCUGCCACCAGCCACCCUGAACAGAAAAGGACAGGGCUUGAAGGAUCUGUACUGAAAUGGAAGAAAAAUACUAAAGAUUUCUUUUCUUCUAACAUCCAAUUAACGUCAGGCUAAAAACCUCACUGAAAAAGUGAUCACUUUAUUUAAGGUGUACUUAGGGAACAGCUAUUACAGCACUGCAGUUUAUCAUACCCUGUAAUAUUGUUAAUUUUGCUAUGAAGUGAAUAAGGGAGGCUUGGGCUGUAGAGCCAUUUGGAUUUAAUAAUACACUUCCAUCCUUCUUAGCCCUGAUUUCUCAACUAACUGUGCAAGGAUUUAUCGUUUGCUAACUGUAAGUGAAUUACUACAGGGUAACACAAUCCUGAGCUGAAGGCAGAGGAGGGAUGAUGUCUUUCAUAUGGCUGGGGAGACCCACAAUGGGCUGGGGCUGCAUCUGCAGGUGGCUCCUGAGGCAGGGGACACCAUUUCCUCCAAGGCAAGGGAAAAAGACAUGAGAAGCCCUUUCUAGGCAUUUAAUACAGUGCAAAAUGCAAGUGUAACUUAAAUUUAAAAAGUUAUUAUUUUGAAAUGUCUUUCAGAGAGAAAAUGCCUGAUGUCCUGAGCGGAUGGCUCUGCAGGGCUUUUUUCUUGAAUAUAUUUUCUAACAGUGCAGUACACGCUGAGUUACUCUGCUCUUUACCCUCCCUCUCAGCUCCUAAGCCGCACUCCAUGGCUUGCUCGUCAUGUAACAGCAGUUGCCCCCCUUUCCAGAUGCUGCAUCACGCAAGGGAACAGAACCACAGUCUCCUCCUGCUGCUUCUUCCGUAGGGAGCUGCAGGGCCGGGGCGGUGCUGCCGCUGCUGAGGACCGCAGGGUACAAGCAGGACCCAAGCCUCACCGAAGCACCACGUUUUGAAAACCCACGCUCCUGUAGCUGCCUCUGCUAAAUAUUUCAGUCGCGUUUAUUCAUCAGCUUCAGAAGAAAUGAGUGGCUGAGCCAUAGAACAGAAUUAGAGGGUGUUUCCCUGGGCUUUGGAUGAAUGCCUGUGUUUUAAACCUCCUUGCCAUCUGCCAUGGAGGACAGGGCUGCUCGGGGCAGGGGUCAGUCCCUGCUGGUGUUGGAGGGGCAUUUGGUUUGAGGGGACGGCAUGUGGGCACUGGCUGGUGCAGUCUUGUUGCUUUCCUGGGCCAUCACUGGCAAUCUGAAGCACUUAGCAUCCCUGCCUGCUCCCCAGGGCAGAGUAGGAAGAGGUGUCAUGUUUGAACUGUGGGCAGGUACCUCCUCGGGCUGCCCUGUCCUCCUUCCUCACCUGGUGUCUGCAUUAUUUCUGGACGACUGCCUCCCUGCUAUCACUUCAUCAGCUGCACAGCUGCAGCCCCAGGAAAGCCUCCCCUCUCCUUCCCUCCCCUCCCUGCCGUCCUGCGCACACCGCCGCCGCUCAGCGGGCCUUGCGGACUAGGGAUGGCUUAAACCCUGUUUUGAAGCAGGCAGAGGAGCAGGGAGGGUAAUGGGUGUUCUCGGGCUUGGCUGGGAUAGAGCCCGGCAGGGAGAGAAAUCACCCUGCCGAUCUGUUAGCUAUAUUUAAUAUACAUCAGCGGGACCACAGCGGGAAGGCAGCUGUGGAAAGUGCUCUGCCUUCCUGCAGCCCCUGCACCAGCUCUGCAGCCACCCUCCCCCUGCGCUGCUUCGGCUUUGUCUCCCUGCCAGGCAAAGCAAAGCCCAGAGAAGCCCGACCUCGUCUUUUCCCACCUGAGGCUCUGGCAUGGAACUACAGAUUAGUGACUCUUCUUUUUUCUCCCAUAUUUUCUGAAAACAGCCACUGAGAUGUGACCUGAUGCCGGGGUCCCAACUGUGUCUGUUACUUCCAGGCGUAAGUCAGCCAGCCGGGUGGCGGCUGUGAGCUCAGCAAGGUUACUCGCUGCUGUGCACCAUGCCGGUGCUGCUGCCUCCUCAGCCUGACCAAAACUUAGAAAUGGAGCGGGUAAUUGAUGGCAUUUUGGAGCUCACAUGUCCAGGUGGCUCAUGAGCUUCCUGGGGUUCCUGAGCUGUUUCACAGCCCCCGGGACUCUCCAGGUUCUCACAAGUAAUAAUUUACACCCAGGAACCGUGAAGCACAGAACUGAAAUGUCUCCUUUGCUUCGGUGCAAACCUCUGUGAAUCGGUACUUUUUCUUCCCUUUACUCCUUUCCCCAUUUCCCCCAGUCCCCUCUUCUGCUGCUGCUGCAGAGCUCGGCGUGCUCUCCCUCAGGGGGCACGUGGCAGAUGAUCCACUGUUUUGGGUCCAUCCACAAGGGACAUUCAGCCCCCGAGUCAGCAGAGAGGUCCUUCGGAGCACGGUGCCCGGCAGCCCCGCGGCAGUGGGCUGCAGCCCCAUGUCUCCGAGCACCCACUCCCACCUCGGGGAGACAGUGGUGGCUGCGGCUGAGGCCAGGCUGUGCACCCUGGCUGCUCCACGGCACCUGCAAAGCUCACCCCACGCAGGUGGCUGGCACCAGGGCUUUGCCACGGGGUGGCUUUAAGGCAAAGGAGAUUUGGCAGCUAUUCAGCUAAAGCGAAAUCCAGGUCAAAGUCGCUUGCUUCUGCUAAUCCUUCUCUGUCAUAUCGAGGGAUCACACAUUGGGAGAGCAGGACUGAGAUUUUUGUGAGCACCAGGAGGUCAGCUACACCUCGGAUAAAAAUUGUGUGUUGCGGAGCGACACAUUUUAUGGGACAACAUCACACAGAGACCCCCUCAUGCAGAUCUUCCAACCUAAUGUCACUUGUCCCCUGCCAUCCAUUGUACAAAACGAUCUUUCUGCUCAAACUUUCUCUGCUAAUUGCCAUGGAAAUUUGAUAAUUUCAUCCUAAAGGAGAGUUGAGGAAAACUCAGGAAGAGCUCCGAUUACUGAAAACUGGAAAAAAUUAAUCUUGAUUAAAGCACUUCCCCCAGGAAAAUAAGGACCUCCUGAACUUUGCAGAGAGCUGAUUGCUCGGAAGCUGUUCUUCAGGCAAUGUUGAACUGUACUUCUGCCAGGUUUUCCUGCAACAUUAUAAUAAAAGAAUCUCACCAUCACAAGGCAGAAGAAAAAAUGUCUUUAGAGGUGUAAUUUAGUGGGCUAUUGGCAAGACCUUGCUUCAGUUCCCUCCUAAGGGAAAGUGCCAAAAUAGGCAUAUUACCCUCCAAAUGCAUAAUGGCUGUAAAAAUGCCUGUCAGCUGUCAGCGCCCAUGGAGCUUCUCAGAUGGAAAAACAGGACUUGAGCAUCAAAGAUUUUUUGCCAGCACCAAAAGAAGGAGCAAAAGAGAAAAUGGAUUCUUGAUUUGGCAUUUUUAAGAUGAGGAGGCAGAAGUCCUUUUCAAAAGAUCAAAGUAGUGUGGAUUUCUGUGUUUUCUGGCAGGUCGAUUCCCUCUAAGGUAAAAGAGGAUUAGGAAAGGAAGUGCUACAAGUCUGCUGCACAGCAUUGAAGCCCACCUGGAGUUUGUAUUUAAAACAAAAUUGUUUAGUUUAGGUUUGUUAUUUUAAUUUCAUUUAAUUCCAUUUCAUUUUACUUUAGUAUUUUAUUUUAUUAAUUUCACUUAAUUACUUACUUCAAUUAAGUAUUCUUCAUAUUUCCUUUGAGGCAUACAUUUGCCUAGCACUUUACCGAGUACUUGUGGUGGUGGCUUUUCCCCGGCACACGCAGCAUCCCGGCGGUGUCCAAACCUUUACACCUCGGACACGGAUCCGGUGGAGCGUGCCCGUGUGUUUUUACCCUUGCCUAUCUUGUUCCCGCCCACUCUCAAACUUGGCGCUACAGAUGCUUACAAUUAUCUGCAGAUGCAGAAUGCGAAUGCAGAUUUUUGGUUACAAUUUGUACCCCCUAAAAUUGUCCUUUUGAAGACCUGUCUCCAAAUUUCUCCAGGCUUUCAACACUCUAUUUAUUUAGCAAUUGACUCGCCCCGUAAGAGAGCAAACAUCACCCUUGCUCCCAGCCCCUCUCAGCAAAGAAGAUUUAUUGCAUUAUUAUGCAGAAAUGUGCUAGAUUUGCUGGGAGGGAGAGGAUGUGCCUGGCUGCAGCAACCUCAAGGUCAGUUUGCCCUUGGAUUAGGGAUGGACCUGCCCUGGUCCUCCCAACCUGCAGAGAGGACCUGAGGACGCAGCAGAGCAGUAGCUGCUUUUCUCAGCUAGCAUAGGGAACUCUCCCAAGCCAGGGUGGUUAAACCAGCAAAUUAUUCCACCUCUUUGGGAGCUAUUUCUGCAGGGAGCCUCACGCUGUUGUGUGGUCGCUUCCAUGUGGAUUUUGCUGCAAGACUCCAUUGCUUCUCCUCCUUCCAGCUGCUUUGGAGACCAGGACAAAACGAUGGAGAAGAGCACGUACAAGCAACAGGAGCCCAUUUCCAUAGCUGAAACUGGUACUGGAAGUGAGCAUCCAUGCAAAACCCAGCACCCCACGUGCUCCAGAGCCCUGCUGGACUGGUGAUGGGGUUCAUUUUGGUCUAUUCUGAGUGGGAUGCAAAUCUUAUUGCCAGGUCAUGGUCUGCCAUUGCUUCACAGGAGACGUGCUUGCAUGCUGCUGCUCAGCAGAGCCCCACAUUUCUCAAGAAUGUGUUACAGCUUAUGGUAUGGAUCUUCACAGCACAACCCCGCUUUCAGCUGCAGGGGCUUGCGAAGGGUUUGAAAAAUCCUGCGUGCUGCCUCUGAUGUGGAUGAAGCACCAGCAGAAAACCACACAAAGCUCCCAAUGAAACAAUCCUGUCAGCCAGGGCUGCUCAGAUGGUGUCAAAUCGCUGCUGCAGAAAAGGGAAAUAACUGAAAAGGUGAAGAUUUGGUCCAAGUAGGUGCACAUCCAGAGUGGGAAACUCUAUACGAGGUCUUGGCAGCACCAGCUUGAGCUCGUGGCAGCCCUUCCUCCAGAGACGUAGUGCAAUGACCUAGCUGCUAUUAAACAGGCCUUCGAAAGACAAGACAAACCCCAGCUCCUGCCUACCCCAGGUGGUCCCUGUGAUCCAACUCAUUCUUCACCUCUGCAGCUUGCAUUCCUCUGGGUUGGGCUGGUUUGCCAUGGGACCAUUUGUGGUGGAGGAACAGAGAGAAACCUGCAGCUCCCCGGGGCUCACCACGAGCAGAGCACAACCUCCUUUAGGACUGCUGGCAGGAUUUCUGGUGGAUGGCUGAGUGGCACCACUCACCCUGGGCUACUUCAGUCCAAGUCCAAGCUGCCUUCAGUCAUAUUUUCCAGUUGUGCCACAAGAAAGGGAACAGGGACCCCAGGGUGAUGGGGAACUGAGGAAUGCCAGGAACUGGGAUCAGCUUUAGUUUAAAUGUGAUGUUCAUACUCACCAAAACUGGUCGUAAAACAUGAAAAGCUGGAACUGCCAACCUUUCCUGCCUCAUCAGACCUCAGUCUCAAGCUGCUGGAGAGCAAGUAGAAACAAAACCAUGCUUCAACUGUUACUUUACCCCCAAGGAGUUGCCAUUUUCUUGUCAACCACAAAAUAUUUGCACUUUAAAAGUUGUGCCCUGAUUCAGCUGGGAUCCAUCCUCUGCCCUGGCCAUCAGGGCAGGACCAGUUCCCCAUCCGAAAACCUUCCUCGCUCCCAGCCCAAUGGAGGCUUUGUCACACUCCUAGCUCAUCACUAAACAAAGCAAUGAAAAUAGAAGGAAAGCAGAAAUCCACGGCCCACCUGAUCGAGACCCAUGCCCAAGAUGCAGAGCCAUCAGAGGAUCCUCACAGAUUCCCUUACCCCAGGGUGCACUUGGUGCCAUGAGUGUGUAUUUUCCUUUGUGUAACAUUUUGCUGAGAUACCUGAAGUGGGUGCCAUCAGGCUGGAUCGCCACUAAACUGGGAUGCGUAGAUGUGUGUUUGUGCCUACUUCUGUACCGGGACAAGGUAAGCAUUAGCUAAAGACCCCAUGCGCCAAAAUGCAAUAACUGGAGAAUAAUUUCCUGCAGCAUCAGGUCUUCUUGCAUGAGGUUUGAUAUAUCUAAGAGCAGUUUUUUACCUUUUUUUACCAUGCUGUUGGACAAGGUGGGGCUAAAACAGCAUGGGUGAAGGGGACAUGCCUGCAUGGGAAGGCUGGGACCUUCUGCACCCCCUCAGCAGGAGCUCUGUGUCUCCCUUUCACCUAUCUCUUUCAACACAUUUCCCCUCAGAUACUGCAAAUCACAAACAUCGUCAAGUCCAUCCUCUCCUCAUGUCCAUGACAUUGCUUAUGGUCCACACUAUGGUCCUCAGUGGUGGCUCAAGGUGUCCCACCCUUCUGGGCAGCCCUCCUUUCCACCCACAUCCCACUGCACCCCAGAAGGAUGUCGCCGAGGGGCCGGUGCUUCAGCCACAGCCGCUUCCCCUGGACUUCAUUAUAUCAUUGACAGCAGUCAAUAUCUCCCUGCCUAGGAAUGUAUUUACUUAUAGGCACAUAAGUAAUUCAUUUAUAAAAUUGAAUUAUCUGACUAGGGAGAUUGUGUGUUUUGAUUGUGUAGCAGUACUUCUGAAACCGACUUAAAAUUGAUAAAAGCCAGAUGGGAAGCGGAAACAGUCCAUUUCAUGACUCUUUAAACGUUUAAGUUGGUUAACCCUUGUACUGCACAAUUUUUGAAGUUGGGGUGUAGUGUGGAAGCAAUUUGUUGGUGCGUUCUCAGGAUGCAAAGUGGGCUGUAAGUGCCGAGGGGGAAAAAGAAGUCUCUGCAAGGACUCUGAGUAGGAAAAAACACAAGAGUGAUGUUUCAGCUGGGGAGCUGUUACAGCUAGAAGAAUUUUGAAGAGAAGGGGGACAAAUCCUGACAAAAGGGUGUUUGGGUCCAGGGAAGGUUCUCGAGGGUGUGAGAUGAGCAGUAAAUCACCGGGGCAGCCCUGGCCAGGGCUCACACGGGAAUGGCAAAGCCCAGCCCGACCCUCCUGGCUCUGCUGCAGCUCCCUGGGGUGUUACAGACACCCAGGAGGUGGCACGGAAAUCACGUCGCCGAGAAGCCGACCAGAAACACGAGUGAAGUCAGCCCAUCUGCAUCCUUCUGCAUGCGAAUGGACAGCAGAGCUGUGAACAGGAGUUUAUUUUGCUUUAAUUAUGUUUCAGUCAUCAGAGAAGUGAGGAAGAGAGAAGGCACGUGAGGAAUAUCCUCCAGGGCUGCUUGCUUGCGGGGCAGCACGAGUCCAGCACCUCUGGUUUGUGCUGUGAAGUCUCACCAGUGCAUACAAAUGGAGCAAAUCCACAAACUCCUUUUAUUUCCCUGUUCUAUCCUUUUUAUUGUGGUUUUUUUUUUUUUAAAUAUUCUAUUCCCGUUUGCUGUCAGAGAGUGUUCCCCCGUGGUAGGCUGGAUGCUGCCAUGGGCUGGUGCAUAGACUGUGUAUGGCAUAAAAUCCCACCUCGGCCAAGCAGGACUCAGCCCUAAAUCCAAACCUUUCCAAAAUAUCUAGCGAUACAAUUAAAAACCUGCCUCAAAUUCCCUAAUAAUUAAGGAAGAACAUGACAUGACUGGACCAUCUUUUAUAUCCGCAGCUGAAGGGCAGGAGGCGGAUGCCGGGACACAUCUGCAUCGAAUCCCCACGCCAUCUCUGUUAGCAAUAACCUCCGCAGGUGCUGGGGGUUGUGUUGUCUUCGCUGCUCACUGCAUCACCAUAUACAUGCCAGAUCUCUUCCCUCCGUGAGAAGCCUCUUAAAUUAAAUUGCCUUUAAUUGGUUUACAGUUCUGCUUCUGCUGCGUUCGCAUAUUGGAAAAUCGAAAGCUCUCCAGACCGAAAUACUUUACGAUCUCGGUUUCCAUUUCGCUAAUAUUUUCCAAGCUGGUUUCCUGUUUUCCUGUUGCCAAAAACACACAUCGGCAAAGAGUAAAAUAAUUCACAUACCAAGUAUUUGAAACAAUUGUUCCUGCCCAGAAAUUAGUGAAAACCUGAUACUUUUUUUAUCAGCAGACCCCACUGUGAUCCUUGCUCUCCUAGCAGAUGGAUUUUUAUCACCGUUUAUUGGCGCAGGAGGAAGCCUGAUGCUCAUGUGCCUUCCCGGGUUUUGGGUCCAUAACUGGAAUACCAGGGUCUGCUUCACUUUGUGAAAUAAAAUUUUUCAGAUCCCAGCAGAAGUGGGUGUUCUGUUCUCAUCAGUUCAAAAAUAUUUCGUUGUAGGGCAAAAAUAACAGGGAAGCUGUCAAAGGGCAGGCAAAGGGCUCUGGGACUGGAAAAUUUUGCCCUGUCUAGAGUUACUGCUUUCAGGGCUCAAUUCAGGAGAAAAAAAUUGUGGUAUUGUGAAAGGCCAUGAAAGGAAAAACCUUUUUACUGGGGCACAAAGCCAAGGCAACUUAGCAGGCUCUGCAUCUUGCACAUCCUGACAUUUUCUAUGUACUUAAGCUAUUAAGCUGCCUGUGCCCCGACCGUUCCUUCCCUGCAGCUCCGAAGAUGCAAAUGUGGGAGUUAAGAGCUUGAAGUUUUGAAGAGCUGAUGAUUAAAAUCUAGAGGAAAUCUUGCAAUAGCCCCGUUGGGAUUUUUUCCUGCAGCGUGAACCCUGGGGAGAUGCUGGUGGAGCGUCCCUGGCUGGCGCAGGCUGCCAGGACAAGUGGCUCGUGGAGUGUUGAGUACUUGGUAAAUAAACCAUAACUUAAAUUCCUACAAAUCAGCUGCUCUGUGUCAGGGAUUUGACAAAUGGAAACAUUUUCUAUUAGUUUAAUUUUUUAAAAAAAUAUGGGAAAAAAGGUAAAUUAUUUAUGUUUCCUCGGGAGUGGCUAUUUUUGUGAAACAUUAACUGGUUUUUGAAGGAAAACACAAAAAAGGGAGCGGGGGAAUUUUGCCAGGACAUGGAAAUACUGUAUUUUUUCAUUUUAUUCUUGGGGCUGAGCACUUUGGAGAAGGCAGAGGUAGAUUCCCAUCUCCUGCCCCUGACCGCAGCCCUGCCUGCCCUGCCCCUCGGUGCGGGGAGUUGGAUCGACAAAGAAAACAAAAAAGAGGAAACUAUAUGUCGGGAAACCCACGUGCCUCGUAUCGCCUUUCUCUGCGCAGCUCCAGUCGGUUUGGACAUGGGUUGCAGUGGGUGAAGCAAGCUUUCCCAGGGCAGCAGGAGAACUGGCUAUAGCAUAAGGAAAAGAAAAGAAAAGAAAAGAAAUGCAUUAAAUUAAAAAAAUCAAGAAGCAAGUGAUGGCGUUUGCUGGUCAGUGGCCACCUCUGACAGAGCCUCAACAUGUAAUAUUAGGGUAGGUGACUGAUUUGGGACAAAUAUAACCCAAAACUGAUGCCACUUCACCUCCUCCAGCCUACUGCAAUAAUCAAUACGGCUUUAGAGGAAAAGGCAGGCAAAAUCCAGGUUGGUCCUACGGGGGUUUCAUGGUAAUUUUUGUUUGACUGAUUAAAUUUAAUGGAGUUAACUCUAAUUUACACGAGCAAACCUGGAAUCAGUAAGAAAAAGACAUAAAAUAAGGAUGGGGAGAGGGAGAAAAUAUAUACUUUCAAUUAAUCAUAUAAUUUAAAUGAAUAAAUUUAAAUAAUUUUAAAUAGAAAGAGAAGAACUGGCCUAAAAGGUCCACAACAUGAAUGUACUUUUAGGAAAAAUCUGGGCAAUAAUGAUCACCAUUUUUAUCGCUUGAAGCUCCAAGCACUUACUGUUAAUAUAAUUUGAUGAAUGAGGAUAUUGCAGUUUAACAUGAAAAACAAUAAAAGUUGCUGAUGUUUAAAAAAAGAACAGGCAAUUAACCCCCAAACAUUUCACUGAAUUUUGACUGAAGGAAUGAGGGAGGAGGAGGAGGGGGAAGAAUGAGCCACCCACUCCCAGCCGCAUCCCAGCUCCCCUGGCCGGCUGCAGCUCAGGCCGACCCUCCACCACCGGCCCCACGUUCCCUCCCUUUGUUUUCUAUUAAACCGAAUAGUGUAGAUGGUACCGAUGUGAAAGAAUGUCUUGGAGUAUUUCAGCGUACAGCAGAAGCCGCUGUACAAACCCGGCCCUGAGAGCUGAGAGCAGCCGCGCCGCAGCCAGCAUUGCCGUGGUUGCUGUGCCUGAACUCACCCUCCCGUUACCGUCAUUCUUUUAACGCACCUCCCUCCCUCUGCUUGCAAAAGUACUAAAUCACUCGCUUUGGGAAUUAAAUCAGAACUAUUUUCUUUUCCCUGUGAUUUUCUAUUGCGUGGCGUAAAAUACAUGAUUUAAGAGCAGUAUCUUACUGAUUGGUUUAGAUAAUGUGAUUUAAAUAAUAACUGGUGUUAAAUAUACCUAGGUAGUCACCAACUCUUAGAGGUAAACCUUUCACCUUCAUGCUUCAGGAAUGCAAUUUAUUUUUCUAUAUUUUCCAGUAAAACUAUUCAGCGCAGAAACUGCAAAGAAGCGAGCCCAGCCCCAGGUCUGUCCCUGCCACCCGUCACCACGAGAGCUUCCCUUCCUCUGCACAACCACAUCGGCACAGCCGCCUCCUCCUCACUCCGUGCCAGCGAUGGCAAUGGCACUGCUGAGAUGAUCUUGUUUAAAUUUAAAGCUUGCAGGUCUACUUAUUAAGGCACUUUGUCUCAGGCAUAUGAAAUAAUUUCUAUAUGCGAGGGGGGGGAAGAGAGAGAAAAUUAAUUUCCUUCACCCUGCUCGAAUUUCAGAGGAAAUUCCAUGUUAUCACUCUGGAGAGCACCCGCAAAAGAAAACAGGGAGAAAGAAAUCUUUUUUUUCUGAUCAUAAAAAUAACCCAACUGAGGUGCUGCUUCCACUCGGCUCAGCAGGAUGGGCUGCACAUGCGGUCUUGGGGAUUCAUAGAAAAAUAGCGUUCACCAGCCAACAGCAACCAGCGUGGGUUGUAUCACCAUCCACCACGCUGCCCCUCCGGCCCUGCUCGCCUGCGCCGGGGAGCGCUCACGUUAAACCUCACGAGCAACGAGCAUCACGGAACACAGACCGAGUCUCAGAUGCAGCAAAACGUGUGAGAUGCUGCAGGGAAGCUGCUCUCCCGCAGGACUGGGAGGUAAAGAAAAGCACGGUCUUGCCUCAAGAUGGCAGGCAGGAGACUUGGAUCCCAGCGGUGAUGUUUUAUGAGGUGUGUGAUAAAAAACUCGACUGUCCCAAAAUGUGCGUGGUGCUGGCACCACCCUACAGCCUUGUGUUAGCACCCCCAAACCCCUGAGCCAGCAUCCCUGAAACCCAUGAGCUAGCAUCCCCCAAACCCUGGUGUUAACAUCCCCGAACACCCAUGCCAGCACCCCCAAACUCCAGUGUUAGCACCCCCACAACCUGAUGAUAUCACCCCUAAAGCCCCGUGUCAGCACUCCCAAACCCUGCUGUUAGCACCCCCUAAUCCCAGUGUCAGCACCCCCAAACUCCAGUGUAACCACCCCCAAGCCCUGGUGUCAGCACCCCCACACCCCAAUGUUAGCAGGCCCCUAACCCCAGUGCCCAGCAGCCCCACCCCAGCACCAGUACGCCCACCCCAGCGCCAGCACCCCCAGCCCCACGCCAGCCCCCCAGCAGCCCGGAGCGGUGCUGCCAGCCAGCUGUCACCAGCCCUGGCACCCACUGCCACCCCCAGCAGCGUUACGGAGCGGGAUGGCAAGGGGCGAGCUGGAAGGACAGAGCUUGCAGAGAAGAUGUGCUGGAGGCAGGAGUGUCCGAGGGGAUCUUGGGCAUUGCCGACCCAUGGUUGUAUGGACACGUGGAGCCGCUUCUGCCGCUGCUUCUCAUUAGAGAUGGAAAAAGCCAUUACAGCAGCAGGGGUGCAUGUCCCAGGGACAGCUGGCGGGCGGCUGCAGCCAUCGGGCAUUCCAGCGGCUGCACCAUGCCCCUGCUUUUUGUUCCCCACUCUGCAUGGGCGGCAAAUAAAUGGCAGCAGCAGCCUGUGCUUUUUGAGGGGGUCUCAUUCAGCCCCACAACAAAACCGGAGCUUCGACUGCGGUGCAGACAACAGAAAUGGCACACAAGGACCUGGCAUGGGUGAAACACCCGUGGGCAAGAGGCGGAAUCCAUACGGCACACACCCCCCGGCGCAGGGGGAUGGCAACAGCCUGGCUCUGUCCUCUCUGGGUGGCAGAGAGCAAUGCUGACUGGCGCUGGAAGCCCCGAGACUGGCUGGCAAUGAGCUUUACAUCAAAAAUAAAAAUUACCUCAAUGAAGCAACGAGCUUAUUUAGUGGAGUAGUAUUCAAGGUUGAAUUCCUGGUUAGAAAGAUUACUAAGAAUUAAAAUACAGGGAUUUCAGCUUAAAUGCGAGCAAAUCUCUUCCCACUGACCUGCCUGCCACCUCCCCUCCCCAGAAUAUUAUUUCUGCAGGAAAAUAACUAAGAAGAAUGAUGUUGAGUCAUUCAGACUGCUUACUUUUGACCAUGCACAAAUUGCUUUUGCUUCAGUCUAACCAUAUAUACUUCUAAUUUUUAUUAUCAGAAAAGCUGGUGUCCACCCCAGUGUGCCUGGCCAAGAGCCACCGGCUCGGGGACGCUCGGCGCAGCGCUCAGCUCCAGCACGGCUUCCCCCCGAGCUUCUGCUCCUGCAAUACCGCCCGCUGUAAGGUGGUGGCAUGUGGACGGGUGCACAGCGCUUUACAUCAGCAUUGUAGCAUUUUUCUGUGUUUCCAUAGUUUUGUUUAUUGUUGCCAGUUCAUUACAGAGAUUUAUCGCACUAUAAAGUGUGCUCAGAAAGCCUUAUGGGCUGCUGGCUAAAGCUGCAGGGUGAGCGUGUCGGAGGGCUCCGCGCGACCUCUACUGAAGUCAAAAGAGAGGAAAAAUGUUUGCUGAUCCCCUUGCAUGGACCUCACUGUAUUGCAUGCCUUGUCCUUCCCUGCCACGAGCUGGGAAGGAGGACUUGUGAGAUGCAGAGGAAAACUCCCUGAUGUGUCGCUUCCCAUUUGCAGCCGAAGUUCUCUUUUAUGGUUUAAAGCACUGAGCAUCUUUGGUUUCUCCUGUCACGAGCAUUUUCUGCCCCCUGCCAGCAAACCCGGACCUGGGUGCUGGCCUUCCGCAUCAAGCUGUGACAGGAAGAGGUCUUUGGAAGUGAACAGAUGAAUACUGGAUCGGGGGACCCCGUUAUUAGCCCCUGGAAGUAUCCUUCACCCAGGCCCUGGUGCCCAGCGAAGGAGGCAGAGCUGCAUGUCACUGGGCGGCUCGCGAGGAGAGUGUCAGAGAGAUGCCACCGCUGGGAGCGGAGCCUGGUGCCCAGGCAGAACUCAGUGACAUUUGCACAACUACUUCCCAAGGAAACAAAUUGCACAAAUAUACAAUUCCAGUUUACAGCUAAGAAAAAAAUGACAAAAUAAACAUCUACUCUGCUUGAAGGACUCUUGGAAACCGUAGGUUGAGCACGAUGAUGAGCGUUGGCUUCCUGGUGUCCAAAAUCCUAACACAGAGCUCUGUGGGAGUCGAUUUGGUUAUGGAGGAUGGAGGAAUUGCUAACCCGCGCUCAUCGCGUGUCUCCCUGCAUUUGAAGAUACUGCCUCGGAGUGUUAUAUUAUUUGUUAUUAAUAACAUCCAUCGUAUGCACCCAAACUGCAUCUCAUUUCAUGUGUCCGACUGUUUGGGCAUCGUGUGCCACAGACCAUAUGGGCCUUGUUUGAAAGCCCUCCGAAUCGCAGGGGUCCAUGUGCAACUGAUAAAGGCCAAUUUGGGGUGGAUGGGAGGGGGGGGCACCGCUCUUCAGGCAAAUCCAAGAAGGACGCCCUAUAUGUUUUCUAAGUGCUAAACCCAAGGGAAAUUACUUCAUCAAAACCCGAUCCAGACCACAGUAAUGAAGACUGUGAUGUAGCCAGUGUUCAACCAUGUUGACUUUACAGUACUGGAAUUAAUCCAUCUGCAUUGCAGCUCGGUGAAAUCAUUUCCAGCCCAUAGCGGCUCCGGGGCUGACUUCAUCCUUGCAGCCCCAGAUGCAGAGCCCUCGGAGUCGGGGAAAUUAUGGAGAGGACCAAAAGGCUGUUCUCUGCGCACCGUGAUGGCUGUCUGUCUUCAUGGGGAUGUCAAAUUUGUUUUAGGGAUGAUCCGGACCCCACAGCUCCGCGAGGCUUUUUGGUGGCCAUGCACAGCAUUACGCUCAUCUGCUCCCAUUGCCGUGCUUCCCGCAGGGCUGGAGACAGGGGGAUUUGCUGCUUUGCUCUCCCUCGAUGAGAUUAUUCGAUUUUAACCCCUAUAAAAAUCCCCGGUAAUCUUACUGUGACCGUGGGUUAUUCAGGGUGCAAAUUCAGGCCGAUGCUAUCAGCUGUAUCUCGUGCUUCCUUGGAAAGGUGCUGUGCAAGCACCAUGGCUUUCCCCACUGCAAUAAGUUCCAGCUGCCAUCCUCGCGGCAAUCUUUUUAUCUUUCAAAGAUAGACACUCUGGAUAUUUUUGUGCUAUUUGCACCAGAAAAAUGGAAGCGAUGAGAUGCUCUCACUGUGCGUGCCCUCGUGGGAGCUUAUCCCAGCUCAUGGAGCAUCUCCCUGGGACGUGUGCUCAGAGAAGCUGAGAAAAGCAGAAAUUCCUCCAGGUCUGCACGUGCAGUCCACUGCCCACCCGUUUCACUUCCUUUUCCUUCAUCCUGUACUUUUUUAUUAACAUUUUCUCAGUAAAAAUGCAAUUGCCUGUUUCUUGGUAGUUGCUACACAGCACAAGCACCUUUUGCUUCCCGUGAAAAUAAGGAGUUUCUGCAAACACCACCACAAACCCCCUGAUUUCGGUGAGGCUUCUUCAAUCAAAUAAAACCAAAACCCCAAUGGGGCUGGAUUCUGGCCCCCACGGAAGGCACUUGAAAUCCCCAAGCUCUCCCUGUGCCCUGACUGCUGCAGGGGGUGUGAUGCCCCGGGGACCCCCAGGAGCUUCCACCACUGGGGCUUGUCCAGCAAGAGGGUCCCCAAGUCAGGCAGCUCUUUGCCCAAGCCUGAUGCACUGCUUAUCCCUCUGCAACGUGGGAAAUUAAUGGAAAUUCAUGGAUGCUCAGCUUUUUGAGAAGCUUCCUGAGCUGUUUAAACUCUCUGUGAAAGCAGGAUUGGAAAACGUAUACAAGGGGGAGCGCCUUAGCUAAGGGAGAGGGCUCUGGACACCGCUGCAGGCGGACAGCACGGUGGGUGCCGCGGUACACGGGCAGGCGAUGCCACCUUCACCAGGUUGUCCGCAAGGCUACAGGGUUUAGGAAAAGUGCCAAACGGCUUUUUUCAAGUGGGGCAAGAAAUAUUUCAUCCUCAAACAAAUUACUGCUGGAUCGCUCGUGCUUUGUGUUCUGCAUGCAAGCCAGGUUUCGAUACCUUUGUUCGUGUAGUGCAAAAUCCUGAUUGCACAGAAAUCACUGCCAGAGCUCCCAUUGGUUUCAAAGGUCCUGGAACAUUAGGGAUAAUUCACAUUUGUUGCUGGAGUAAUCUCCUGGAUUUUGGAGGAGAAGCUUCCAGCCGGCACGAGACAAAGAGCAGACAUGGUGGUGAAGAACCUGCUUGGGAGGUCAACCAACCAAGAAACUUCAGCACUGGCUGUCUACCACCCUAAGCUGGGCAUUUCUUCCCAGCCUUAGAAUUUUGGCCAUGAAAAUUAAUUUGGGAUGUUCCUGAGAACAAGGACGGGCUGAACCGUGCCGUCACCUCCAGCUCUGGACACCGCAGGCUGGCCCGGAGGUGCCGCAGCCCCAUGGGGACACAGAGCUAUGCUGUCACGUUGUGCUCGGAUAGAAGAGCAGAGGUUUUUCUAAGUUCAUUAUGGGCAAAAAAAGACAGAGAAUGAAAUUAAAGCUUUGCUGUGGGACUGGACAUUUGAGAAUGUAAGGGAAAACAAUCUCCCAAGCACUGUUAUGAGCUACUACGGGUGUUUUCCGCCAAGAUUUACUUAGUGGUCAGAAGUUUCUGUUUAAAAAAUUGGGGUUUAGGAAAAAGAAAUAUUUGUUAAUCUGUUCACCAGUAAUUAGUUAAUGACUAAUGUGAAGUGGUAGUUACAUUUGCAAAAAUUAAAGUUGAAUAUUGCAGUUUCCAGACCCCACAGAACCCAAAGCGGUGUUAUUUCAGCCCACAGAAGGGUUAUUCAGCCGGCAGUCACAUCCACGCCAGUCGCAGCCUGUGUAUUAGCCUGAGCAUUCAGAAACUGUUUCAUUACAGCUUUAACGUACACCCGUAACGAACCUUCCACCCUUCCCGUGUUGUUAGUGGCAGCUCUUUGUGGCACACUGCAUCGUGCCUAAGGUUUGGGAUUUUCUUCCAAGAAAAUGAUAUUAGUUGCACAUUGGAAUAUUAGAUAUCCGCUUGCAUUUCUUCAGCGUCCCAUUUAACCCUGUUAGAUCUGAGGCAGCACGUUCAUUUAUAUUUCCAACAUGACAGGCAAAGAGGCUGGGAUAUGGAAAUAAAUAGAUUAUUUGUUUGCUACUAACAGUAAGGUUGGGAAAGUGGAAAAAAGUGCGAACUGGACUGUGAGUCCUGGAAUAAAAAGUUAGUAGCGUGUGCAAACGUGGUCAAUCCAUCCUAAAAUACAUUUUUGCAGGAGAGGGAAGAUUUUGGAAGGGAAGAUGUGAGGGCAGAUGGGGUUGGUGUCACCAAGGCCAGGGAGGGGACAGCACAUGGGGACAAGGGACCGGCCCAGGGGUCACUGCUUUGCUGGCUCUGGCUGCAUCUCCGCGAGAGCAGAGGAGUUACACCACCUGAACAGAUCGCUUAGAGUACGUCCCACACUACGUGCAACCAGCAGGAAAAGCGAUGCACCCACACCCAACUGCAGCCUUGGCUACAUGCCGCCUAAUUAAACGCUGGUGAAACAAUCACUGAAGCUGCGUUAUGGGAGUCAGGGCUUGCUUAAUGGUAUACAGCGAUGCAGUGCUGCAUCGCUCUGAUUAGAAACUGGGAUUUUUCCAAAUGCUAAAAAAAAAAUAAAUAAAAUAUAUAUUUUCUUGCUAACAAUUUAUGAAGCAGAGAACAAACAAUCCUUCAGGUUUAUCUGUUAGAACUGACAAUGUCCUAGCACCAAACUUGUAAUCGCAGCUUUGUAGAAAUCUAUGACAUAGCAGAUGGAGAUAUAAAAGGGAAAAGUAUUAGAUGUGUAAUUGAGUACAGGCGAUAUUAAAAUAUUACCCCUAAGCCACAGGUCAGGUUGGGUUUGCUUUAUUUUGGUUGUUUUAUUUUUUAUUUUGUUUUGACAAAUGCAAAGUAAAUCUUGGCAAAAUCAAGCAUGGCUUGAACACUAUUAAAUCUCCUAAAGUCUGCCCCUAAAGUGGUCAGGAAAGUCUGUGUUUGGAAUUUACCUGUGUGCUUUAAUGGAUUAACGGACAGUAUGAAAAGAUCAUUUUCAAGUUAAGCAAACAUUUCUGGCAUAUUGUAUAACACUUGCUUUAAAAUUAAGUUAGUUAUUCUGAACUUUAUGCCAAAUGAUUAUUUGCUCGAUUUUCUGAUGAUGGUAAUACGUGACAUACCAUCACAUAAUUUGGUAAAGACAAUAAAAUUACAAAGCCCAAGAAGGGUCUGAGUCAGGCUUUGACAGAUUAAAGCUCUCCAAGUCCCCUGAAAACCCUUUUCUGACAUAUUAAUUUGACCUAAACCCUCAAAAUGUUCCUGAUUAUGUCAUCUCAAUUGGGCUUUAUUUUUGUUUUAUUUUUCAUUGUAGGAAAUUAAAAAGGGUUGGUUGAUCCCUGGCCAAGUUCUUGAAAUGUGUUGCAAUGCUAAGGAAAUAAAAGAUUACUCGAAAUACUUUUUAAUAAUAUGUCAUGUCAGCAGAGAUAAAGGUUCACACUUAAUGCCCUCAGCUGGCUUCUAUCAGUGCUGGGGAGCGCAGCAUCAGCCCCGGCCGGGCUCCGGCAAGGACCCACCAUUCACCUUGCUUUUAAACCAUGAGCUUAUGCUGUUAUAAUUAUAAACAUGUUUAUAAAAUUUGUUUCAUUUCUCUUUGUAAGAAGAAAUAAAGAUCUGCGUAGGUGGGGCUGAUCCUGCCCGGGAGCGAGGGCAGAGCAAGACGACCUCCCAGAGCCUCUUCCCCUGCCCCGUCCUCCAUCCCUUUCUGGCGCUGAUGGCUGGGGACAGCGGUGGGGUCACAGCCCCCAGGCAGGCCAGGCACCCAUCCUGCCGAGCCAUGAGCCAUCGGGCGGGGGCACCUGGACGGGCCUUACCCCAGGAAAACCCACUUCAGCAGAGCCUGGGGCUUUGCAGGGCCACUGUGAUGGGCAUCACCGGGGAGCUGCGGUAACGCGGGGCCAAAACCACCACGUCGCCCCACUGUGACACGGCAGAGCUGCUCGUCAGAUCUGGAGGCACUUGGCGAAGGAAGAGAAGUACUGUCCACCUUGAUAAAAGUGAAAUCUAAAGCUCGUCAGCGCCAGGCUCUCUGAGGCUGCGCUGGGAGAUGCCCACACUCGGCAGGGCCGGGGCUCGCUGUCCCGUGUAACCCCAGCAGGCUCAGCUGGGCAGCAGCCUGGGGAAGCGCACUGCCGGCCCUGCCGCACGCCAGCUGUACAGCUCCCGGGCGGCCCACCGGCCAUUCUGAGAGGCGCUGUGAGUUCUGCACCGAAGCUGGAUCCUCCAGAGCCCGGUUUGCAGGCAGGGAUGCAAAUCUUCCACCCCUGAGCCAGGCUGUGGGCAUGGUCCGAACCAGGACCAUGCACAGGGGCAGAGCCCGCAGUGGGAGGAGUGGGCAGCGGCCACCUGGGUGCCCCAGGCUGGACCGACAUUUGGCACCUACAUCAGCUGGACGUUUGGCACCUACAUCUGCACCCAUUCACUUCCUCCGAGACCUUUCCCUUAGACAAGUUCCUGUCCCAGUGAGCUAUGCCAGGAGUCUGGGGUAUAAAUGUGCAUUAAAAAAAAAAAAAAAGCAUAAAUGUUUAGAAAUGCGUAUAAAUGUGUAUAAAUGUACAAAUGUGUAUCAACGUGCAAAGCCCACCCUAAGCUGAGCAAGGAGCAUCCUUGGAAUGAGGAUUUGAGGACAACAGUAUGAGUCUGGGGCCUGCAAAACACCCACUCGCCAAGCGCUGUGCCGGGGAGCGGCUGGCUGAUGUUUGGUUGCGGUUGUCUCUGCUCAGAUGCCGUUUUCAUGCUGCUGCCGGCCCAAGCUUUGGAAGAAAUGUGUGCGCCAGGACACAGACCCUGACAAAUACAGCAAGAAAUCCUGAGAAGUGGAACAUUUGAAUAAACCAGUGAUCCCCUGAGACUCCGGGAGUGCCUGGAAAGGGGGCACUGGGUGCUGCACCCCAUCCCCUUCCCUCCCCAAAGCCGCAGCACCCUGCAGCAGCUCCCACUCCCCCCAAACCUGCUUUCUCAGCAGGCUUGUGAAUUUUAUCCCUUUGCACAUUU